rnacentral:misc_RNA from 1 species
UCUCCGUAGGUGAACCUGCGGAGGGAUCAUUACAGAGUUCUCGCCCUCGCGGGUAGACCUCCCACCCACUGUUAUCGUUACUGUGUUGCUUUGGCGGGCCGCCGGGCCCCGCUCGGCCGCCGGCUCCGGCUGGCGCGCGCCCGCCAGAGGCCCAGAAAACUCUGAAUGUUAGUGUCGUCUGAGUACUAUAUAAUAGUUAAAACUUUCAACAACGGAUCUCUUGGUUCUG